rnacentral:misc_RNA from 1 species
AGAGAGAAAAGAGAAGGGGGAAGAAAAGAGAUAAUAAACGAGAGAAAGAAGGAGAGAAAGAAUAGCAACCGCAGGCAAACCAUACAUAGCAAUGAAACCUUCUUACCCUAAAAUGCUGGCUGUUGUCUCUUUUCAUCCAAGAAUGUGAAAAUCAAUAGUGAGAAGAGAAAGGAAUAGUGGCUAUCCCUUGCCACCACCUAUGACUAUGGCAUCAACUGGAACUCCUCUCCUCUGAAUCAUCUUCCUUAAUUAUUUCAGAUAAGUCCUUCACAAGCCGCCAAUUUCAACCGAGAUAUGCAGAGGGAAGGGAAUCGAAGCUUUGAAGGUUGGGUUUUACGAUGAUCAGUUCCCAUGGCACUGCCAAUAUACGAGCAAGUUAUAGUCACUAUUGAGGUUGCAUAGACCCCAGCUAACCAUCUCUAGACCCCUCAAUGCCGUUUGACACUGGUCAGAUGAAUUGUGAUGCUUGCAUGCAAACAAAGAUAAGCAAAGCUCAAGUGUCAGCUUGAGCGUGAUUUGUAGGUAACCACAAAUUCCUUAAUUUCAUGAAUUCCCUGGCUUGCUUAUGAUAUUCUCACAAUUUCUUUUAUUUGUUUUGGUGAAUUUAUCCCUACAUUGUUCUCUACUAAUUUUCCCUUGAUUUAUGGUGAUUCUAAUGUGUAUUUCAUUAACUGAUGCAAUCUAUAUAUCAUGGAUUUUAAACUAUUUUUCUUUCCUUCAAUUUUUAUGUUUUGCUAAACAAUAUAGAGAGUAUCAUUUGACCUUUGUUAAUGGUUCUUGUGAUCACGUGGACUACAAAAAUAUAAGGCACAAAAUAAAAAUAGUAAAUAGCAGUUUAUAAUACUUUUGGCAGGAAACCAUAUAUUGCAAUUUUGUAAGACGAAAUGGGUUGCAUUUCAUUAGGAAAAACCAUUGGGAAUUCAAGUAUUGCUUAGAUAUUCAAAUCUGAAAUGUCAUUGCCUGUAUUUUUUAUAUGUGCUUUAGGUUAAUUAGCUGAAAUCAUGUUUUUAUAAGAACAACA